GACGAACGCUGGCGGCGUGCUUAACACAUGCAAGUCGAACGAUGAACCACUUCGGUGGGGAUUAGUGGCGAACGGGUGAGUAACACGUGGGCAAUCUGCCCUUCACUCUGGGACAAGCCCUGGAAACGGGGUCUAAUACCGGAUAACACUGUCACGGGCAUCUGUGGUGGUUAAAAGCUCCGGCGGUGAAGGAUGAGCCCGCGGCCUAUCAGCUUGUUGGUGAGGUAAUGGCUCACCAAGGCGACGACGGGUAGCCGGCCUGAGAGGGCGACCGGCCACACUGGGACUGAGACACGGCCCAGACUCCUACGGGAGGCAGCAGUGGGGAAUAUUGCACAAUGGGCGAAAGCCUGAUGCAGCGACGCCGCGUGAGGGAUGACGGCCU
rnacentral:rRNA from 1 species